rnacentral:tRNA from 1 species
GGAGUUGUGGCUCAGUGGUAAAGCACUUGCCUAGCAUGUGUGAGGCCCUGGGUUUGAUCCUCAGCACUUCA